rnacentral:rRNA from 1 species
UACGGAGGGGGCUAGCGUUGUCCGGAAUCACUGGGCGUAAAGCGCACGUAGGCGGAUUGUUAAGUCGGGGGUGAAAUCCUGGAGCUCAACUCCAGAACUGCCUUUGAUACUGUCGAUCUGGAGUAUGGAAGAGGUGAGUGGAAUUCCGAGUGUAGAGGUGAAAAUUCGUAGAUAUUCGGAAGAACACCAGUGGCGAAGGCGACUACUGGCCACUAUAUGACGCUGAGGUGCGAAAGCGGUGGGGAGCAAACAGGG